GCAAACUUGGUCAUUUAGAGGAAGUAAAAGUCGUAACAAGGUCUCCGUUGGUGAACCAGCGGAGGGAUCAUUACUGAGUUACCGCUCUAUAACCCUUUGUGAACAUACCUAUAACUGUUGCUUCGGCGGGCAGCGCGGCCGCUGCGGCCCGCUCCCGGCCCCGCUCGUCGGGGUGCCCGCCGGAGGAUAACCAAACUCUGAUUUAACGACGUUUCUUCUGAGUGGCACAAGCAAAUAAUCAAAACUUUUAACAACGGAUCUCUUGGUUCUGGCAUCGAUGAAGAACGCAGC
rnacentral:misc_RNA from 1 species